rnacentral:rRNA from 1 species
UACAGAGGUCUCAAGCGUUGUUCGGAUUCAUUGGGCGUAAAGGGUGCGUAGGUGGCGCCGUAAGUCAGGUGUGAAAUUUCGGAGCUUAACUCCGAAACUGCAUUUGAUACUGCGGUGCUUGAGGACUGGAGAGGAGACUGGAAUUUACGGUGUAGCAGUGAAAUGCGUAGAUAUCGUAAGGAAGACCAGUGGCGAAGGCGGGUCUCUGGACAGUUCCUGACACUGAGGCACGAAGGCCAGGGGAGCAAACAGG